AAAUAUAAAAACAGCGAAAGGAAAAAGAAGAAAGAAAAAACAAAGAUGAAGCGUCUGCAACGAGAAAGGAACCAAUCCUUAGCUACUCUUUUAGAUUCCGUUUUCUUCGCGGUAUCCGGAUAUUCCUCCUUUUCUCCUCCUCC
rnacentral:ribozyme from 1 species